UAAUAAUAAUAAUAAUAAUAAUUUAUUAUUUAUACCCCGCCCAUCUGGCUGGGCUUCCCCGGCCACUCUGGGCGGCUUCCAAAAAAAUAUUAAAAUACUAUAAUACAUCAAACAUUAAAAGCUUCCCGAAACAGGGCUGCCUUCAGAUGUCUUCUAAAAGCCUGGUAGUUGUUGUUCUCUUUGACAUCUGGUGGGAGGGUGUUCCACAGGGAAGGCGCCACUACCGAGAAGGCCCUCUGCCUGGUUCCCUGUAACUUGGCUUCUCGCAGUGAGGGAACCGCCAGAAGGCCCUCAGUGCUGGACCUCAGUGUCCGGGUAGAACGAUGGGGGUGGAGACGCUCCUUCAGAUAUACUGGACCAAGGCCGUUUAGGGCUUUAAAGGUCAGCACCAACACUUUGAAUUGUGCUCGGAAACGUACUGGGAGCCAAUGUAGGUCUUUCAAGACCGGUGUUAUGUGGUCUCUGCGGCCGCUCCCAGUCACCAGUCUAGCUGCCGCGUUCUGGAUUAGUUGUAGUUUCCGGGUCACCUUCAAAGGUAGCCCCACGUAGAGCGCAUUGCAGUAAUCCAAGCGGGAGAUAACCAGAGCAUGCACCACUCUGGUGAGGCAGUCCGCAGGCAGAUAGGGUCUCAGCCUGCGUACCAGAUGGAGCUGGUAAACAGCUGCCCUGGACACAGAUUUGACCUGUGCCUCCAUGGACAGCUGUGAGUCCAAAAUGACUCCCAGGCUGCGCACCUGGUCCUUCAGGGGCACAGUUACCCCAUUCAGGACUAGGGAAUCCUCCACACCUGCCCGCCUCCUGUCCCCCAAAAACAGUACUUCUGUCUUGUCAGGAUUCAACCUCAAUCUGUUAGCCGCCAUCCAACCUCCAACCGCCUCCAGGCACUCACACAGGACCUUCACUGCCUUCACUGGUUCUGAUUUGAAGGAGAGAUAGAGCUGGGUAUCAUCUGCAUACUGAUGAACACCCAGCCCAAAUCCCCUGAUGAUCUCUCCCAGCGGCUUCAUGUAGAUGUUGAAAAGCAUGGGGAAGAGGACAGAACCCUGAGGCACCCCACAAGUGAGGGCCCAGGGGUCUGAACACUCAUCCACCACCACCACUUUCUGAACACGGCCCAGGAGGAAGGAGCGGAACCACUGUAUAACAGUGCCCCCAGCUCCCAGCCCCUCAAGACGGUCCAGAAGGAUGUUAUGGUCGAUGGUAUCAAACGCCGCUGAGAGAUCCAGCAGAACUAGGAAACAGCACUCACCUUUGUCCCUAGCCCGCCGGAGAUCAUCAACCAGUGCGACCAAGGCAGUUUCAGUCCCAUGAUGAGGCCUGAAUCCCGACUGGAAGGGAUCCAAAUGGUCCGCUUCUUCCAGGCGUGCCUGGAGUUGUUCAGCAACCACUCGCUCAAUCACCUUGCCCAAGAAUGGAAGAUUUGAGACUGGGCGAUAGUUGGCUAUUGUGGCCGCAUCUAAAGAUGGUCUUUUAAGAAGCGGUUUAAUAACCGCCUCUUUCAGCGGGUCUGGGAAGGCUCCCUCACGGAGGGAAGCAUUCACCACCCCACGAAGCCCAUCGCCCAGUCCUUCCCGGCUAGCUUUUAUAAGCCAGGAUGGGCAAGGAUCAAGGAGGCAAGUGGUUGGUUUCACUCGUCCAAGCAGCCUGUCCACAUCCUCGGGGGUAACAGAUUGGAAUUGAUCCCACACAACUUGACUAGACAGGACUCUAGCACUCUCCCGCCCCGGCCCUGCUCCCACGGUGGAGUCUACCUCUUCUCGAAUCUGAGCGACUUUAUCUGCAAAAACUUUGCAAAGUCAUUGCAGGAGAUCAUGUGGCCGCUACUGGGCCCUGAUGGAGCAGGUGGUUCCGCUAAAUUGCGAACCACCUGAAAGAGUCUCCUGCUGCUGUUUUCCGCAGAUGCAAUAGAGGCGGUGAAGAAAGUCUUCUUCGCCGUCGCUAUCGCCACUUGGUAGGCUCGACAUUGAGCUCUAACCCGUGUCCGGUCAGAUUCAGAAUGGGUUAUCCGCCACCGGCGCUCUAGCCGUCUCAACGAUUGUUUCAUUGCCCUCAGAUCCGUGGAAAACCACGGGGCUGUCCGGACUCCAUGCAAUCGGAGAGGGCGCUUUGGAGCCAAACAGUCAAUAGCCCUGGUUAACUCCACAUUCCAGCGGGCCACCAGGGAAUCAGCUGAAAGGCCAUCAACAUGGGAUAAAACAUCCCCUACCACUCUCUGGAAACCAUUUGGAUCCAUUAAGUGGCGGGGGCGGACCAUCUGAAUCGGUCCCGCCUCCCUGCAGAGGGGGAAGGGUCACGGAGAAGUCCAGUUGCACCAGGAAGUGAUCUGACCAUGGCACUUCUUUGGUUUCGCUUUUACUUAAUGUCAGAU